CCCAGGCUGGAGUGCAAUGGCACGAUCUCGGCUCACAGCAACCUUCGCCUCCUGGGUUCAAGCAAUUCUCCUGCCUCAGCCUCCCGAGUAGCUGGGAUUACAGGCAUGCUCUACCAAGCCUGGCUAAUUUUGUAUUUUUAGGAGAGACGGGGCUUCUCCAUGUUGAUCAUGCUGGUCUUGAACUCCCGACCUCAGGAAAUAAGAAGAUAAAAGAACAAGGCCAACAUCACAAUGAGGAAACAAUCACACAUAUUCAGAAUGUUGGACAUUCUACAAGAUAACCAGGGUGGAAUAAUCAAUGUCAUUUAAAAAAAUAAGCAGACUAUUUCAUAUCAGAAAAAGACUAUGAAAGAAUAAAGGAAUAUCAUAGCAGUGGUGCUGAGAACUUAACCUACUCCCAUUGGUUUCCAACAACUGAGCCCUUGAACAGUGACUUCUUAGCUGUAAAUCCCAGAGUCUUCCGUUUCAAAUCAAUUCUUCAGGAAAAAGAGAACAAAAUAUAAACCCAAGUGGAGAGAGUACUAAAAGACACAAGAUUUUUUUUUAGAGAAUUUAUUAAUCUAAUAUGAGCAAUUAAUUAUUUAUGAUGGUUCCUAUGUUUCACAGAGAAGUUAAAGAAAUAAGAUUAGAACCAUCUUAUGGGCUCUGCGUAAGGCUCUGCAAUCUUUCACCAUUAUUGCUUUAUUUAUUAUACUAAGGAGCAUGACAAAUGUUUGCAAUUUGACUUGAACAUUUUCACUGUUUUUGCUUUGCUUUUGUUUCUUUCUUUUUAAAAAUCCAUGGUUUUUGAAUUUCCUUUUGAAUAUUUGCAUCCUUAUAUGCAAUAUAAGAGAACACUUACAUGCACAAGAGUUAUCGCUUGUGGGUCUCACUAUUAUUAUCAUCAAAAUGCCUGAAAUUACCUAUGAGGGAACAUUAUAAAGUAAAUGAUAAAGAAAUAAUUUAAUGUUACACCUUAGGUAACCUUCUCUAGGAAUAUAUGCUGAAACAAUAGGAAGAC